CUGAAUGGUCAGGGACUGGCAAUAGCACACAGGCAGCUUAUCUUCCAUGAUACUGAUUUGAAUGUGGCCAGGCCCAUGUGGUGGAGCAGCUGGCAUAAUCCCUCCUUACAGGGAUUCAUCCUACUAAAGUUUUACUGCCAUGGACUGAAAAAAGCAUCAGGGCACCAACAAUAGAGGAGAUUCCCAAGACUUGCAGAAAAGUCAAAAAGUUAAAAGAAAACUUCAACAUGUGAACAGAAAUAGACUUCAUGCGACUACCGGCAGCCUGAAACACUAACUCUGAGAGGUGUGUCUGUGAAUGUCUUAUUCAACUCAAUGGAGUUGUGAACCUGGAAUCCUAAAGAUGACAACCGAGAUGUCAGUGAUGUUGGAUAUAUAUUUCUGCUCAUUUUAGCUUGGGCCCCAGUCCUGAACUCUCUGCAGUGCCUCCCCAGGUGCCAACAGUCAACUAUCAAAACCUCCAGCUUCCCACCUGACAACUUCUUUAAACACUGUUAAUACAGAAGUGUCUUACGUUGAAGACUGAAAAUGCUAGGAAAGCAUAAAACAGGGUCUGCUGUAUUCAUCAUAUUAGUUAUUUGCACAUUUAUUGAAAACCUCCAUUUUUAAAAAUAGAAUGUGAACAGCUGCAGAAUUUCUAGUCUCCUACAGAGGGCUACAGAACAUAGUCACGGGUAGACAGAAAACCUUGAUGCUGUUCCACGGUAGCGCAAUAGCCUGCUGGAAUUCUACUCCAUCAUCACGGAGAGGAAGAUGCACACAAACUUAGUCACUAGGUAUCCAAAGAAGACGACUUCACAGACUCUUAAGAACAGACAGGGAGACGCUUUUACAAAUAAAAUAAAUAAAUAAAUAAAACAAAACAGGAGUUCCUGAACAGUGAAAAGCACACUGGAGCACCCACCCACAGAGUCCACACAGAUGAUCGGGACAGCAGGUAAGAGCAGGUCGGCUCCCACACACCCAGCGCGCCCAGCAGUCUCCUUACUAGGCAGGAGGCAUGGGCCGUAUUCCCAGAGCCAAAUGCGUUAUCGUACGAGCAUCAGUUUAAUAAUACCGCGUAGGGCCCCAUAAAUCCUAAGGAUGGCCCUGUCAAAAAGACAUCCUUUCUCUCCGCACUCAAAAGAGAGACUUAUUGAAAUAAAAACCGACCCAUUACAGUGGAUUUGUCCCAUUAUAUUGGGCUAUAAUCCACUGAUUUUUCUUGUGCACAAAUUCUUUUCCUAUUCCUAGGGCACUGAUUCAAGUCAAGAAAUUUCAGGAAUGAAUUCUGUUUCUCAGAGAAACACAGUAACACUUCAUUACAGGCCCAAUUCUGCAAAGACUUACUAUUAGGCACAGUGCUUAAUUUCUGUAAUUGCCUCACUGGUAACAGUAAACACAAUGCUUAGAGCAAGUCUUUGUGGGAUUGUGGGACAAGAAUGCAGUACUGCCAGUCCUAAGCAUUCAAUAAUCAUGAAUCAAGCCCACAAGAUUCAAGACAUUUAAAAAAAAAUUUCAAUCACAAACUCGUUUUUAAACAAGCUUUUAGGUUAUUUUUAUUUGCCUCCCACUGUCAUAGCCUCUG